GGGGCUCCUCCGCAGGGCGAAGCUCUUCAAGGGCAGGAAGCUCCAUGGGGACGUCGAGGUCCGGGUGGAGCAGGCCCAGUUUUCGGAGCUCAGCUUGGUGGCCUCCACCACGGGUGCCCUCACGGUCACCAUCGACAGCCCUCACGGGGGGACCAGGCGGCUGCGCCCCGACUUCGUGCUGGUCCGGGAGGAGCCCGCGGGGUUCGGGGCGCCCGAGGGGGGCCCGGCCCGGCCCCUGCUCGUGGGGCUGCACCUGGCCGGGGUCCCGGCCACCAACCCCCUGCCCGCGCUCUACGCAUUCGCACACCGGCCC